UUAUUUUGUAGAUUGUAUUACUGGUGAAGAUUGUGGUGAGAGAGAAAUUUUAAGGAAUAAUUUAUUGAAAAAGCCACAAGGAGAAGAGCCACGAGUGACACGUGGAGGAGUCCCAGAGGCUUAGUGGUAUAGAUCCACUGUCUCUUUUGGGUAUUUAAUUUAUGAUUUAUAAUGUGUUAUAUUGCCAAUAUUAGGGCUUUUUGUUUAUUGUCAAUUAUAUGAAUAUAUAAAUGUAAUCAUGCCUUUCAAACUAUUUCUAUUUUUAGUACAAUUUGGAUGACUGUAAUUUUAA